rnacentral:rRNA from 1 species
GACAGCGGUGAUAGCGCGUUAAAUGCAUCAGUUUAGAAUGGAUCACUGCAGUAACGUUCCGCGUGGUUGGUAACCGGAUGGGUGACCAUCUGAGCAAUCGCGAGCUGCUGGCU